AUUGAACGCUGGCGGCAUGCCUUACACAUGCAAGUCGAACGGUAACAGGUCUUCGGAUGCUGACGAGUGGCGAACGGGUGAGUAAUACAUCGGAACGUGCCCGAUCGUGGGGGAUAACGUAGCGAAAGCUACGCUAAUACCGCAUACGAUCUACGGAUGAAAGCGGGGGAUCGCAAGACCUCGCGCGAUUGGAGCGGCCGAUAUCAGAUUAGCUAGUUGGUGGGGUAAAAGCUCACCAAGGCGACGAUCUGUAGCUGGUCUGAGAGGACGACCAGCCACACUGGAACUGAGACACGGUCCAGACUCCUACGGGAGGCAGCAGUGGGGAAUUUUGGACAAUGGGCGCAAGCCUGAUCCAGCAAUGCCGCGUGCAGGAUGAAGGCCUUCGGGUUGUAAACUGCUUUUGUACGGAACGAAACGGUGAGCUCUAAUAAAGCUUGCUAAUGACGGUACCGUAAGAAUAAGCACCGGCUAACUACGUG
rnacentral:rRNA from 1 species